rnacentral:rRNA from 1 species
UACGUAGGGUGCGAGCGUUAAUCGGAAUUACUGGGCGUAAAGCGUGCGCAGGCGGCUUUGCAAGACAGAUGUGAAAUCCCCGGGCUCAACCUGGGAACUGCAUUUGUGACUGCAAGGCUUGAGUGCGGCAGAGGGGGAUGGAAUUCCGCGUGUAGCAGUGAAAUGCGUAGAUAUGUGGAGGAACAUCGAUGGCGAAGGCAGCCUCCUGGGAUAACACUGACGCUCAUGCACGAAAGCGUGGGGAGCAAACAGG